GACGAACGCUGGCGGCGUGCUUAACACAUGCAAGUCGAACGGAAAGGCCCUGCUUUUGUGGGGUGCUCGAGUGGCGAACGGGUGAGUAACACGUGAGUAACCUGCCCUUGACUUUGGGAUAACUUCAGGAAACUGGGGCUAAUACCGGAUAGGAGCUACUGCUGCAUGGGGGGGGUUGGAAAGUUUCGGCGGUUGGGGAUGGACUCGCGGCUUAUCAGCUUGUUGGUGGGGUAGUGGCUUACCAAGGCUUUGACGGGUAGCCGGCCUGAGAGGGUGACCGGCCACAUUGGGACUGAGAUACGGCCCAGACUCCUACGGGAGGCAGCAGUGGGGAAUAUUGCACAAUGGGCGGAAGCCUGAUGCAGCAACGCCGCGUGCGGGAUGACGGCCUUCGGGUUGUAAACCGCUUUCGCCUGUGACGAAGCGUGAGUGACGGUAAUGGGUAAAGAAGCACCGGCUAACUACGUG
rnacentral:rRNA from 1 species